rnacentral:misc_RNA from 1 species
AAAUUCUAUACACUUCUGAAAUAUGGUGCAUUUCUCUCAUAUCAUCUGUUCAGAGUCGCGUGCUUUGAGGAUCCUCUUCCCCCUUCCCCAUACCCAAAAAUAAAUAAAUAAGUAAAUAUAAGUAGUCUCAGCCAAUAUGUGAAUACAACUCUUGCAGGAGUCUGGGUCUAAGCAGUUGAAUUCAGGCCCGUUUCUUAGAACUGUUGUUGAGGAAGUUGCCUCCUCAAUUAUUGAGACAGAACCAAAUGUGAAGUAGUAAUGUCUUUUAGGUUGUCUGAUACCAUGGCUUCGUGCAAAAGGUUGCUCUAUGCAUCAGGCAGUCAGCGUGAGGCUCUGGUAGUAGUUUAUGCUCAGCCAUCAUUCCUAUCAACGGCUUUUCUUGAUUUUGGGCAAGCGCAUCUUUGAUGCUCUGAUUGCUGUGAUGUUCAGGCUCCUAACUGGGGUCUUCAUCCCUCGAUUGUGUUUUCCACAAUUUCUUGCACUAGCGUGGGACUUGUUCUGUUGUAACACCAGUUCUCGCUUUGUGUUCCAGUGAUAUGCUCUGGAAGAAGAUGGUUGUUUUCCUUGUGUCAAUAUUGCGAUCAAUCCAUUGAAACAAAUCUUACCAGCAAAAUGGGUCAAGACAAGAUUUCAUUCCAAAUUAUGCAGUUCAAAAUUAUUAUCCUAGCACAAAUUUUCACUUUAUAUU